rnacentral:rRNA from 1 species
AUUGAACGCUGGCGGCAGGCCUAACACAUGCAAGUCGAACGAGUGGCGGACGGGUGAGUAAUGCCUGGGAAACUUCCUGAUGGAGGGGGAUAACUACUGGCAACGGUAGCUAAUACCGCAUACCCUCGUAUGUGCCCAGAUGGGAUUGGCUGGUAGGUGGGGGAAAGGCUCACAUAGGCGACGAUCCGUAGCUGGUCUGAGAGGAUGACCAGCCACACUGGAACUGAGAAACGGUCCAGACUCCUACGGGAGGCAGCAGUGGGGAAUAUUGCACAAGGGGCGCAAGCCUGAUGCAGCCAUGCCGCGUGUAUGAAGAAGGCCUUCGGGUUGUAAAGUCCUUUCAGCGGGGAGGCGUUACCCGCAGAAGAAGCACCGGCUAACUCCGUGCCAGCAGCCGCGGUAAUUC